rnacentral:rRNA from 1 species
GACGAACGCUGGCGGCGUGCUUAACACAUGCAAGUCGAACGGAAAGGCCCUGCUUUUGUGGGGUGCUCGAGUGGCGAACGGGUGAGUAACACGUGAGUAACCUGCCCUUGACUUUGGGAUAACUUCAGGAAACUGGGGCUAAUACCGGAUAGGAGCUCCUGCUGCAUGGUGGGGGUUGGAAAGUUUCGGCGGUAGGGGAUGGACUCGCGGCUUAUCAGCUUGUUGGUGGGGUAGUGGCUUACCAAGGCUUUGACGGGUAGCCGGCCUGGGAGGGUGACCGGCCACAUUGGGACUGAGAGACGGCCCAGACUCCUACGGGAGGCAGCAGUGGGGAAUAUUGCGCAAUGGGCGGAAGCCUGAUGCAGCAACGCCGCGUGCGGGAUGCCGGCCUUCGGGUUGUGAACCGCUUUCGCAUGUGACGAAGCGUGAGUGACGGUAAUGGGUAAAGAAGCACCGGCUAACUACGUG